UACGUAGGGUGCAAGCGUUGUCCGGAAUUAUUGGGCGUAAAGAGCUCGUAGGCGGUUUGUCGCGUCGGCUGUGAAAACUCGGGGCUCAACCCCGAGCCUGCAGUCGAUACGGGCAAGCUAGAGUGUGGUAGGGGAGACUGGAAUUCCUGGUGUAGCGGUGAAAUGCGCAGAUAUCAGGAGGAACACCGGUGGCGAAGGCGGGUCUCUAGGCCGAUACUGACGCUGAGGAGCGAAAGCGUGGGGAGCGAACAGG
rnacentral:rRNA from 1 species